rnacentral:misc_RNA from 1 species
CACACCGCCCGUCACACCAUGGGAGUUGGUUUUACCUGAAGACGGUGCGCUAACCCGCAAGGGAGGCAGCCGGCCACGGUAGGGUCAGCGACUGGGGUGAAGUCGUAACAAGGUAGCCGUAGGGGAACCUGCGGCUGGAUCACCUCCUUUCUAAGGAUGAUCCUUCAGCGAGCUCACGCUCACUAUCGGAUCGUUUUAGAAACAUCAGUGGCCAACAGAUCGCCAGAUCGUUGAGCUGCAUUGGCGGGAUUUCGCCGUCUUCGUUUCUCUUUCUUCGCGGACGAACACGCGCUGGGCCUGCAUCAAGCAGGAUCCCACGGUCCCUGACGGGAUAUGCGUUAGGGGCUUGUAGCUCAGUUGGUUAGAGCGCGCGCUUGAUAAGCGUGAGGUCGGAAGUUCAAGUCUUCCCAGGCCCACCACUUUCAUCGAGUGAGCAUUCGUCUUCUGGUUACGGGGCCAUAGCUCAGCUGGGAGAGCGCGUGCUUUGCAAGCAUGAGGUCGUCGGUUCGAUCCCGUCUGGCUCCACCAGAUGGUUUGAUCACCGAGAUCUUGCACCGUCGUCCGCGAAACAUCACUUCGCAUCUCGCUAGUCUGGAUAGACAGCAAGAUGCGUGUUUUCUGACAUCGUAAAGAGGAGAUCGAUCCGAGUUGGAUCGUGCGGCAGAUUGUUGCGCGAAUCCUUCAUUAUCUCCGGAUCAUUUUCGGCGCUCGCUCUCAGCCGUGAGGUUGAAUGCGAGUUGUAAAAUGAUCCUUUUAGCGAAGCUUGACCGCCUCGCUAUCGGAACGAUCUUACGAAGCAAGCUGGUCUUUCUAGUCAAUGUCCGGCUGCACGUAGCAUUCAUCGAGGGUGCGCGCCGAAAGGCAAUCGUGCAGACAACAUUCUGCCGAGUGUGUGGACAUUGAUAAUGAGAGCAAUCAAGUGCCUUAAGGGUGUUCGGUGGAUGCCUUGGCGCUGAGAGGCGAUGAAAGACGUGCUACGCUGCGAUAAGCCGUGGGGAGCUGCCAAACUAAGGAUGAUCCUUCAGCGAGCUCACGCUCACUAUCGGAUCGUUUUAGAAACAUCAGUGGCCAACAGAUCGCCAGAUCGUUGAGCUGCAUUGGCGGGAUUUCGCCGUCUUCGUUUCUCUUUCUUCGCGGACGAACACGCGCUGGGCCUGCAUCAAGCAGGACCCACGGUCCCUGACGGGAUAUGCGUUAGGGGCUUGUAGCUCAGUUGGUUAGAGCGCGCGCUUGAUAAGCGUGAGGUCGGAAGUUCAAGUCUUCCCAGGCCCACCACUUUCAUCGAGUGAGCAUUCGUCUUCUGGUUACGGGGCCAUAGCUCAGCUGGGAGAGCGCGUGCUUUGCAAGCAUGAGGUCGUCGGUUCGAUCCCGUCUGGCUCCACCAGAUGGUUUGAUCACCGAGAUCUUGCACCGUCGUCCGCGAAACAUCACUUCGCAUCCUGCUAGUCUGGAUAGACAGCAAGAUGCGUGUUUUCUGACAUCGUAAAGAGGAGAUCGAUCCGAGUUGGGUCGUGCAGCAGAUUGUUGCGCGAACCUUCAUUAUCUCCGGAUCAUUUUCGGCGCUCGCUUUCAGCCGUGAGGUUGAAUGCGAGUUGUAAAAUGAUCCUUUUAGCGAAGCUUGACCGCCUCGCUAUCGGAACGAUCUUACGAAGCAAGCUGGUCUUUCUAGUCAAUGUCCGGCUGCACGUAGCAUUCAUCGAGGGUGCGCGCCGUAAGGCAAUCGUGCAGACAACAUUCUGCCGAGUGUGUGGACAUUGAUAAUGAGAGC